CCCUUAGAUGUUCUGGGCUGCACGCGCGCUACACUGAUGCGCUCAACGAGUUUACGACCUUGCCCGGAAGGGUUGGGUAAUCUUUUUAAAACGCAUCGUGAUGGGGAUAGAUUAUUGCAAUUAUUAAUCUUCAACGAGGAAUGCCUAGUAGGCGCAAGUCAUCAGCUUGCGUCGAUUACGUCCCUGCCCUUUGUACACACCGCCCGUCGCUCCUACCGAUGGAUCGUCCGGUGAAGCUCAUGGAGGGGCGGUUGUCUCAGCUGCCGUCGAAGUGAAAUGGACCUCACGAUCUAGAGGAAGGAGAAGUCGUAACA
rnacentral:rRNA from 1 species